rnacentral:rRNA from 1 species
AAGAAACCAACAGGGAUUGCCCUAGUAACGGCGAGUGAAGCGGCAACAGCUCAAAUUUGAAAUCUGGCCUUCGGGUCCGAAUUGUAAUUUGUAGAGGAUGCUUUUGGUGCGGUGCCUUCCGAGUUCCUUGGAACAGGACGCCUUAGAGGGUGAGAGCCCCGUACGGUUGGACACCAAGCCUCUGUAAAGCUCCUUCGACGAGUCGAGUAGUUUGGGAAUGCUGCUCUAAAUGGGAGGUAAAUUUCUUCUAAAGCUAAAUACCGGCCAGAGACCGAUAGCGCACAAGUAGAGUGAUCGAAAGAUGAAAAGUACUUUGAAAAGAGGGUUAAAUAGCACGUGAAAUUGUUGAAAGGGAAGCGUUUAUGACCAGACCUUUGCCUGGCGGAUCAUCCGGUGUUCCUCACCGGUGCACUUCGCCUGGCUUAGGCCAGCAUCGAUUUCUGGAGGGGGAUAAAGACCAUGGGAACGUAGCUCUCUUCGGGGAGUGUUAUAGCCCUAGGUGUAAUACCCUUCCGGGGAUCGAGGUUCGCGCUCCGGCAAGGAUGCUGGCGUAAUGGUCAUCAACGACCCGUCUUGAAACACGGACCAAGGAGUCGAACAUUUAUGCGAGUGUUUGGGUGUCAAACCCUCACGCGUAAUGAAAGUGAACGGAGGUGAGAGCCCUCUAGGGUGCAUCAUCGACCGAUCCUGAUGUCUUCGGAUGGAUUUGAGUAAGAGCAUAACUGUUCGGACCCGAAAGAUGGUGAACUAUGCGUGGAUAGGGUGAAGCCAGAGGAAACUCUGGUGGAGGCUCGCAGCGGUUCUGACGUGCAAAUCGAUCGUCAAAUCUGCGCAUGGGGGCGAAAGACUUAUCGAACC